CGUCACUGCGCUUAUAUACCGCAAGGCGUGAUGUCACAGUCUCGCGAGAAGAGACUAUGAGCCUGAUGCAUUCCGUCUGGGUGAGCUGGGCGGCAGGAGCCGAGGAGGUGUCAAGGCAGUAGAUAACUGUGAUUGGAUUUAUUUUGCUAACCCAUUUUAAAAUAAUGGGAGGACAUAACAAAUUUUUGUUGGGGCUUUUUCAUUUUUGAUGUGCUGCAUGCUGUUGGAUUAAUCUUGCCCCCGGGUAACGUUGCCUUAUAUAAGGCAGGACAUUUAUUUUUUUUUUGUUUUUUGAAGAUAUUUCCCUCAAGAAUCAUUGUAAAACUUAUAAAAUUGCAGAACGAGAAUUAAUUUUGAGGAUACUUGGGGUUUACAAGUGUCUACCAUAUUAAGAAAAAAAAAAUAGUAGGAGCAGCCGAACUUUUGUGUUGCUGUAACAUCGUGAAUCAUGGCAUUUACAAACUACAGUAGUCUGAACCGGGCACAGUUGACAUUUGAAUAUCUACAUACUAACUCCACUACACAUGAGUUCUUGUUUGGUGCAUUGGCUGAACUAGUAGAUAAUGCAAGGGAUGCUGAUGCCACAAGAAUCGAUAUUUUUACCGUAAAGAGAGAAGAACUUCGAGGUGGCUUCAUGCUUUGCUUUCUUGACGAUGGAGCAGGAAUGGAUCCUAGUGAAGCAGCCAGUGUCAUUCAGUUUGGUCGAUCUGCUAAAAGGACUCCUGAAUCUAUUCAAAUUGGGCAAUAUGGAAAUGGUUUAAAGUCGGGUUCUAUGAGAAUUGGAAAAGAUUUCAUCCUUUUCACCAAGAAGGGAGAUUCAAUGACCUGCCUUUUUCUGUCUCGAACCUUUCAUGAGGAGGAAGGCAUUGAUGAGGUUAUUGUUCCUCUUCCAACUUGGAAUUCGAAAACUUGUGAACCUAUAACAGACAACAUGGAGAAGUUUGCAAUUGAAACUGAACUCAUCUAUAAGUAUUCUCCAUUUCAUUCCCAAAAGGAGCUCAUGGAACAGUUUAAAAAAAUAACUGAAGACACAGGAACCCUGGUUGUAAUUUUUAACUUGAAGCUGAUGGACUCUGGUGAACCAGAGCUGGAUUUGGUCACGGACCCUAAAGAUAUUCAGAUGGCUGGGACUCCACCAGAGGGAACAAAGCCUGAGCGGCGCUCAUUUCGAGCUUAUGCUGCUGUUCUGUAUAUUGAUCCAAGAAUGAGAAUCUUCCUUCACGGACACAAGGUGCAAACUAAGCGACUCUCUUGUUGCCUUUACAAACCCAGAAUGUAUAGAUACACAUCAAAUCGAUUUAAAACACGAGCUGAGCAGGAGGUGAAGAAAGCAGAACACAUGGCUAAAAUUGCUGAGGAGAAGGCACGGGAAGCAGAAAGCAAAGCACGAGCGUUGGAGUUGCAGCUUGGGAAUGACCUAGCUCGGGAAAGCAGGGCUGCGCUCCGACAAGUACAAAACACAGCAAUAACUUUUCGUAGAGAAGCAGAUGUAAAGAGACGCAUUAAGGAAGCCAAACAAAGAGCCCUUAAAGAGCCAAAAGAGUUAAAUUUUAUCUUUGGAGUGAAUAUUGAGCAAAGAGACCUUGAUGGAAUGUUUGUCUAUAACUGCAGUCGUUUGAUCAAAAUGUACGAAAAGGUUGGACCUCAACUGGAAGGAGGAAUGGCCUGUGGAGGAGUGGUAGGUGUAGUGGAUGUCCCAUACCUUGUUCUUGAACCCACACAUAACAAGCAGGACUUUGCUGAUGCUAAAGAAUACAGGCACUUACUGAAGGCUAUGGGAGAGCAUUUGGCACAGUACUGGAAGGAUGUAGCGAUAGCACAGAAAGGUAUUAUAAAAUUCUGGGAUGAAUUUGGCUACAUAUCAGCAAAUUGGAACCAACCUCCAUCUUGUGAAUUAAGGUAUAAGCGCAGACGUGCAAUGGAGAUACCCACAACUAUACAGUGUGAUAUGUGUUUAAAGUGGAGAACACUUCCUUUCCAACUGAGUUCUGUAGAAAAGGAGUAUCCUGACACAUGGGUGUGUGCCAUGAACCCUGAUCCUGAACAAGACAGGUGUGAGGCUACAGAACAGAAGCAGAAGUUGCCUGUUGGAGUUCUGAAAAAAGAUAUCCUGUCACAAGAAGAGAAAAAAAGACAGCUGACAGAAAAAAUCAGACAGCAACAAGAAAAGCUGGAAGCCCUGCAGAAAGUGACUCCCGUGCGUUCCAUUGCAGACAUUAAAAAGCUUCCGUUAGAUGUUAGCACCCGUCCUGAAGAGGCCUCAGUGUCCACAAGCCGCCCUCGGCCACGGUCACCACCCUUGCCUGCUGUGCUGAAAGAUAUUGUUCCACCACCUGUUUCACGUGGUGGUAGUGCAGCCAAGAAACAUGAAGCUGUACGAACCACUUCUGUUAACUGUGAACCGGCCACCACAUCCAAAGCCAGUAGCCAAAUUGUCUCACCUGUCAGAACAAAUAACACUCAAAAGAUUCUCCGAAAAACCAUUUCAGCUUUGAGAUCCUCAACACCUCCUCCAAUACCUUCUACACCCCAACAAGCUCGACCAAUGAGACCCAUUCCAACACCAUCACCCAGUUUGAAAAAUGUAAAAAAUUUGACAGGAAAGAAACAAGUUCCAAGCAAGACUCCUCCAAUGAGCAAUGUCCGAAAACGAAACUCCCAGCAGCUCAUUUCUGAAGACAUUAAAAUAAUAGGAUCUAAGCCUGAGAAAGCAAAGCGUUCUAGACUUGUAGAAGUGAAACAGGAAAAGAAAGAUUCAAAUGAAGUAGAAGUAGAGAAGACUUCCCACACACACUCUGACCCAGAUGUGUCUUUGCAGUUGACAGCGAGUCCUGGGGAGGAGGAAAUCCUGGCAGCAGUCCAAAAAGAUAAAGGCUUGAAUGUUGAAGUGCGAGUGAACAAGGAGUGGUUUACAGGACGUGUCACUGCUGUAGAAGUAGGGAAACAGGGAGUUCGAUGGAAAGUAAAGUUUGAUUAUGUACCAACAGACACCACACCACGGGAUCGAUGGGUGGAAAAAGGUUGUGAAGAUGUAAGACUUAUGCGACCACCCUCACCAGAACACCAAGCACCAGACACACAGCAAGCAGAGCCUUCCACUUCAGACAACACCAGAAUAGAACCAGAUACUACAGAGCCUAAUGCUAGCCCUGCACCCUUAGAACAGCUUGUACAAACCCUCAGAAACUGCCUACGAUAUUUCUGGCCACCAAACUUUACAAUCUCCAAGAACGAAUUGAGUACUAUGAGCGCUGAAGACCUCAUAGGAUUUCCACUGUCUGCAGGUGAUCCCCACUGGCAAGUCUCAGGACCCAUCUACUGACUGAAGAGGCAGGAGCUAUAUGGAAUUUUCAGAAACCAAGUGGCGUGUCACUAGUUUAGUAGCAUAUUUUAUUUUAUUUAUAUUUUAUUUUAAUAGACACAAGCAAUAUACCUUUAUUUUAUAAUUUCUUAGUGUCUCUUUUAUUUUCACAGAAGGAUUAUUUCAAACAGUAUGAGGUGGGGCUGCAGAACCUGUGCAAUUCCUACCAGAGCCGAGCAGAUAGUAGGGCAAAGGCUUCAGAAGAAAACCUACGAAACACAGAGAAAAAGCUGCGGGAAGCAGAAGAGAAAUUGCAGAAACUGAGAACAAAUAUUGUAUCCUUAUUGCAGAAAGUACAGGAGGAUAUUGAUAUAAAUACAGAUGAUGAGCUAGAUGCAUAUAUAGAGGAUUUAAUCUCAAGAGGAGACUGAGCAGAUACCAUUAGGAACACGUUCCAGCUACAAAUGGACAUUAAGGGAAGCUGCUGCUCCCGCAAGCCACAACACUGAUGGGGUGUACUGAAAUCACAUGGAGGAAAUCCAGUAGGAUGUCAGUGUUUUGAUGUAAGAUGUUCGUGUUUUUUUUUUUUAUAUACCUGGCAUGUGCUGUUCCAUGUUUUAAACAUUGUAGUUAUUGAACGCAUUUCUUUGUUUAUAAAUAUUUAUUUUUUAAAGGAA